rnacentral:rRNA from 1 species
AUGCAUGUAGGAGAUCGUCUGCGGCUGCUCGGUGAGUUCUUGAUUUCUUAUAGUUUCAUUGUUUCGGCAUUGAUAAAGUGUUCUGACCAUGCGUUUUCUUUCAACAAAUUCAAGGGCAAGCCAGAGACGGAGAAUAGCAGGUCGUGCAGAUGCGAUUGUCAGGCCUUGAUUAGGUUGCUGCAUGCUGCGGACAACAGCUGGUAUAUUACAGAGCAUCGUGAGAGCCAUAACCACUCCAUGUCGUGGACGAUGGGUGAAAAGGUGCACUGGCCAUCACACACGCACAUAGAUGUGUACACUGGAUCUGAUAAAGCAGUUAAGGGAGAAUAA